UACGGAGGGUGCAAACGUUGCUCGGAAUCAUUGGGCGUAAAGCGCACGUAGGCGGACCGCUAAGUCGGAUGUGAAAGCCCUCGGCUUAACCGAGGAAGUGCAUUCGAAACUGACAGUCUUGAGUAUGGAAGAGGGUCGCGGAAUUCCCGGUGUAGAGGUGAAAUUCGUAGAUAUUCGGAAGAACACCAGUGGCGAAGGCGACUCACUGGACACAUAUUGACGCUGAGGUGCGAAAGCGUGGGGAGCAAACAGG
rnacentral:rRNA from 1 species